rnacentral:tRNA from 1 species
UCCCCGAUGGCUCAGUGGUAAAGAAUCCACCUGCCAAUGCAGAAGACCCGGGUUCCAUCCCUGGUUGGGGAA